rnacentral:rRNA from 1 species
CCCUUAGAUGUUCUGGGCCGCACGCGCGCUACACUGAUGCAUUCAACAAGCCUAGCCUUGACCGAGAGGUCCGGGUAAUCUUUGAAACUGCAUCGUGAUGGGGCUAGAUUAUUGCAAUUAUUAAUCUUCAACGAGGAAUGCCUAGUAAGCGUGAUUCAUCAAAUCGCGUUGAUUACGUCCCUGCCCUCUGUACACACCGCCCGUCGCUCCUACCGAUUGAAUGUGUUGGUGAGGAGCUCGGAUUGGCAGCAGUUGGUGGUUCGCCACCGGCUAUUGCUGAGAAGUCCUCCAAACCGCCCCAUUUAGAGGAAGGAGAAGUCGUAACA